rnacentral:rRNA from 1 species
GAUGAACGCUGGCGGCGUGCCUAAUACAUGCAAGUCGAGCGAACAGACGAGGAGCUUGCUCCUCUGACGUUAGCGGCGGACGGGUGAGUAACACGUGGAUAACCUACCUAUAAGACUGGGAUAACUUCGGGAAACCGGAGCUAAUACCGGAUAAUAUAUUGAACCGCAUGGUUCAAUAGUGAAAGACGGUUUUGCUGUCACUUAUAGAUGGAUCCGCGCCGCAUUAGCUAGUUGGUAAGGUAACGGCUUACCAAGGCAACGAUGCGUAGCCGACCUGAGAGGGUGAUCGGCCACACUGGAACUGAGCCACGGUCCAGACUCCUACGGGAGGCAGCAGUAGGGAAUCUUCCGCAAUGGGCGAAAGCCUGACGGAGCAACGCCGCGUGAGUGAUGAAGGUCUUCGGAUCGUAAAACUCUGUCAUUAGGGAAGAACAAAUGUGUAAGUAACUAUGCACGUCUUGACGGUACCUAAUCAGAAAGCCACGGCUAACUACGUG